UGACGAGUUUGAUCCUGGCUCAGAUUGAACGCUGGCGGUAUGCCUUACACAUGCAAGUCGAACGGUAGAGGGGCAACCCUUGAGAGUGGCGAACGGGUGAGUAAUACAUCGGAACGUGCCCAGUCGUGGGGGAUAACGUAGCGAAAGCUACGCUAAUACCGCAUACGACCCGAGGGUGAAAGCGGGGGACUCGCAAGAGCCUCGCGCGAUUGGAGCGGCCGAUGGCAGAUUAGGUAGUUGGUGGGGUAAAGGCCCACCAAGCCUGCGAUCUGUAGCUGGUCUGAGAGGACGACCAGCCACACUGGAACUGAGACACGGUCCAGACUCCUACGGGAGCAGCAGUGGGGAAUUUGGACAAUGGACGCAAGUCUGAUCCAGCCCAUUCCCGCGUGCAGG
rnacentral:rRNA from 1 species